GGAAGAAGGGAAAUCUCUUUAAGAAGAGGAAAGUGAGGAACAGAAAGGGAAGAAACUGCCCGUCCUUAUUGCAAAGAAGCUGCAGGAAGAAGGGAAAUCUCUUUAUGUUUAAGAAGAGGAAAGUGAGGAACAAAAAAGAAAGAAACUGCCCGUCCUCAUGGCAACAGAAAGUUCUAGUGAUGCAUUUUGCUGCAUCUCUCCAAUUCUCAUCCAUGUAAGGAGAGAGGAAACAGUGUGAGUAGAGUCUGAAUACCUCAGUCUCCACCCUAUGCCUUAGGAAAGGUGUGACUGAAGUCUGGCUUGGAUAGGGCAGCUGGUACAGAGAGGGAAUAUGGAAAAACCAAGGGAAGGAGAACGGAGUGGUUGAGAGUUCAGGAAUCAGGUACUGGGCUUCCCCGUCCAAGAAGAUGGAUGCCUUUUAAGGGGUUCCAGUGGGAUGCAGAGCUCUCCU